rnacentral:rRNA from 1 species
UACGAGGGGGGCAAGCGUUGUUCGGAAUUAUUGGGCGUAAAGCGUGCGCAGGCGGUUUUGUAAGUCUGACGUGAAAUCCCCGGGCUCAACCUGGGAAUUGCGUUGGAGACUGCAAGGCUGGAGUCUGGCAGAGGGGGGUAGAAUUCCACGUGUAGCAGUGAAAUGCGUAGAGAUGUGGAGGAACACCGAUGGCGAAGGCAGCCCCCUGGGUCAAGACUGACGCUCAUGCACGAAAGCGUGGGGAGCAAACAGG